rnacentral:rRNA from 1 species
GGGCCCGCACAAGCGGUGGAGCAUGUGGUUUAAUUCGAUGAUACGCGAGGAACCUUACCAGGGCUUAAAUGCAGAGCGACAGAGGUGGAAACACCUCCUUCUUCGGACGGUCUGCAAGGUGCUGCAUGGUUGUCGUCAGCUCGUGCUGUGAAGUGUCGGGUUAAGUCCCAUAACGAGCGCAACCCCUAUUUCUAGUUGCCAGCGGUUCGGCCGGGGACUCUAGAGAAACUGCCAGCGUAAGCUGUGAGGAAGGUGGGGAUGACGUCAAAUCAUCACGGCCCUUACGUCCUGGGCUACACACGUGCUACAAUGGUAGGGACAGAGAGUUGCCAACCCGCGAGGGUGAGCUAAUCUUCAAACCCUAUCUCAGUUCGGAUCGGAGUCUGCAACUCGACUCCGUGAAGUUGGAAUCGCUAG